GUGGCCGCCCGGAAGACACUGAUACUUCUGGAGCGCACGCGAGGGUCCAAGGCGGGACCGGACCAAGGCCGCCUGCGCUCCGCGGAGGCGCGGUCUGAGGGACACGAGGCGGUGGCAAGGGACAGGAGGAGGGCGCGGACACGGGGCGCUGGAACGGGGCGGAGACAUGGACGGGGCGCGGGUGGGCGGACCCCCUCCCGCAGGGCCAGGAUGGCCGGGCCAAGGCCGCUGGGAAAGGCAGGACGCUCGCCCCUGCGCUGCCAGCUGGGCUUUUCUCCUUCCUCUCCUGCCCUGUGUUCCAGGGCGCGACCCCGCUCUGUCCAGACGCUGGCUCCCGGACUGAUCCUCAGGUAG
rnacentral:antisense_RNA from 1 species